rnacentral:misc_RNA from 1 species
GGUCGUUUCAACUCCUUUUUUUCCGUCAAUCUCAGAGAGACUAAAGAGCAGUAGUGUCAUGGAGGAUCCAACUGUAUACUUGGGUUCAGACACCAACCACUCCCAAAUCUCUUUUAACACCAAUGAAGGAAAGUUGGAAGGUUCAAACGGUGAGGCUUGUCAAGAAUUUGGCCUUAGAAGAAGACACCGUUGCUUCGUGGUAACCGCAAGGGCACGAUCUUUUCUUUACCAUCAGGUUAGGCUGCUUGUUGGAGUCCUUAAGUCAGUUGGGGCUGGUGAUCUGACAGAUCCAGAUGUAAAACGCAUCCUUGAAGCAAAAUCCAUUGCUGCAGCACCCCCGAUGGCUCCUGCUUGUGGUCUUUAUCUUGGACAUGUCAAAUAUGAUUUGCCUCCCGAGAAUAAUCAAA